AUUGAACGCUGGCGGCAGGCCUAACACAUGCAAGUCGAACGAGUGGCGGACGGGUGAGUAAUGUCUGGGAAAGUGCCCGAGGGAGGGGGAUAACUACGGGAAACGGUAGCUAAUACCGCAUACCAUCGGAUGUGCCCAGCUGGGAUUAGCUAGUAGGGGGGGUAACGGCUCACCUAGGCGACGAUCCCUAGCUGGUCUGAGAGGCUGACCCGGCACCCUGGAACCGAGGAACGGUCCAGACUCCUACGGGAGGCAGCAGUGGGGAAUAUUGCACAAUGGGCGCAAGCCUGAUACAGCCAUGCCGCGUGUAUGAAGAAGGCCUUCGGGUUGUAAAGUACUUUCAGCGAGGAGGCGUUACUCGCAGAAGAAGCACCGGCUAACUCCGUGCCAGCAGCCGCGGUAAUUC
rnacentral:rRNA from 1 species